UCUUGAAGCCUGUUAGGAUUAUUGUGUGGU
rnacentral:piRNA from 1 species